UUCCUUGUCCUCCUGUCCUGGCUUGCCAGUUUCCUAGCUGUCACCCUAGCCUGGGGUCCUGGAGGGGCUUUGGGUGUUCCACAGACUGUGCUGCCCUGGCUCCUGCUGCCUGCCCGCUGGCUAAUUCUGAUUAUUUCUCUUCCUCUGUUCUCUCUUGGGUGCCUUUAUUCCUGACCGUGCAUUUUCUCUGGACUCAGGAUUAAAAAAAAAAAAAACCCACAUUGCUAAUAUCCUUGUCAGCCCUUUCCUGAAUCAUUGCUGCAUAGCUCCAGGGAGCUACGGGCCAGCGCUCACUGACCAGCAGACUCUGUCCCUGGGCCUUCCUAUCCUUAGGGUCCUGGGACAACACCAGUCCCCCUACCCCGAAGCUGAGACUCAAGGUCCCGAGAAAUGUCCAGUCAGAAGACACAGACGAGGCCAAGAGUGGUCACAGCUGAGGCCUUCAAGGUUCACAGAUGGGAAAGUCUGACUUCAGAAGACUUGGUGGUUUGUUGAGGCAACAUGGCAGCCGAGUGUCAGCGCUCAAGUCUCCACAUUUAACUAAGCCUUGCAGCCACCUCUGUUGGGGUCCUCACUUCUUCCCCAGGAUGAAACAUGAGGCCAAUAUUGAAGACAGAAGAUGGGAGAGUUUUCCAUGCACUCCCUGGGUGGGGUGGGGUUCUCUGAGUGACUUCUUCAGAGUACGAAGAACAUCAGAUCUGGUUUCCGCUGCCAAGGAAUCGAUCUGUUGACAGAGCCGUUCUCUGCAUGUGUCCAUUUAAACACCCAUCCCUGUGUGGGAUUCAGGCUGACCGACUCCGUUUGCCAAAUGCAAAUGCAUUAACCUUCCGAUGGGAUAAUCUAAUAAAAAGGGU